rnacentral:rRNA from 1 species
UACGUAGGUGGCAAGCGUUGUCCGGAAUUAUUGGGCGUAAAGCGCGCGCAGGCGGUCCUUUAAGUCUGAUGUGAAAGCCCACGGCUCAACCGUGGAGGGUCAUUGGAAACUGGGGGACUUGAGUACAGAAGAGAAGAGUGGAAUUCCACGUGUAGCGGUGGAAUGCGUAGAGAUGUGGAGGAACACCAGUGGCGAAGGCGACUCUUUGGUCUGUAACUGACGCUGAGGCGCGAAAGCGUGGGGAGCAGACAGG